UGAAACCAGUGUCCAUCCAGAUGGGGAGGAGAGUGAUGUCACGUUGCUUCAGAGCCCUUCAGCUGCUCACACAUUAUCUACCUCCUACUGCGUCAGGGAGGGCCAAAGGAUGGACCAGAUGCAGUGUAAAAUCUGCCCUAUUUUACAUCUUGGACAUGAAACCGACUGGAACGAGCAUCCACAGCCUUUUAGAGGCAUCUCCUGAGGCAGCAGUGGGAGUCCACCAGCCCAAGCUUGUGUGUUUGGGCCACCCCAGUACAACAGCUCAGUACAUCAUCGUGGCACAGAAUGACAAAGUUGCCAUCCCACUUCAAGAUGAGGGUUUGACAUGUGCCAUUGACAAGCUGUUCAAAAUGUUCUGGGUUUGCAACCUGGCAUAUCCUGCACAACUUGAAUCAGUCUAUGGUUUCUUUGAGUAUGUUUAUGACAUGCCUGUCCUCGGGUGGGAAGAGAUCAAAAGUUGUGGAGCUUAUUGCAAAGCUCCAGGCAGUUUU